rnacentral:rRNA from 1 species
AGCAGUAGGGAAUAUUGGACAAUGGGUGCAAGCCUGAUCCAGCCAUGCCGCGUGCAGGAAGAARGCCUUMUGGGUUGUAAACUGCUUUUUYCWGGGGAUAAAAUACYCGUGCGCGRGGAAUUGAARGUACCWGGWGAAUAAGCCACGGCUAACUACGUGCCAGCAGCCGCGGUAAUACGUAGGUGGCAAGCGUUGUCCGGAUUUAUUGGGUUUAAAGGGUGCGUAGGCGGUYYWKUAAGUCAGYGGUGAAAUMCGGCAGCUYAACUGUSGAGGUGCCAUUGAUACUGSRRRACUUGAGUACUGAUGAGGUAGGCGGAAUGGACGGUGUAGCGGUGAAAUGCUUAGAGAUCGUCCAGAACACCGAUAGCGAAGGCAGCUUACUAAGGAGUAACUGACGCUGAGGCACGAAAGUGUGGGGAUCAAACAGGAUUAGAUACCCUGGUAGUCCACACUGUAAACGAUGAUUACUCGAUGUUGGCGAUACACAGCCAGCGUCKWAGCAAAAGCGAUAAGUMAUCCAC